rnacentral:rRNA from 1 species
GACGAACGCUGGCGGCGCGCCUAACACAUGCAAGUCGAACGGAGGUAUUGAGACGGAAGCUUCGGCAGAAGACUUAAUACUUUAGUGGCGAACGGGUGAGUAACACGUGAGGAACCUGCCUUUAAGAGGGGGAUAACACUUAGAAAUAGGUGCUAAUACCGCAUAAGACCACACAGCGGCAUCGCUGAGGGGUCAAAGGAGGAAUCCGCUUAAAGAUGGCCUCGCGUCCGAUUAGGUAGUAGGCGGGGCAACGGCCCACCUAGCCGACGAUCGGUAGCCGGACUGAGAGGUUGAACGGCCACAUUGGGACUGAGACACGGCCCAGACUCCUACGGGAGGCAGCAGUGGGGAAUAUUGGGCAAUGGGGGAAACCCUGACCCAGCGACGCCGCGUGAGGGAAGAAGGUUUUCGGAUUGUAAACCUCUGUCUUCGGGGAUGAUAGUGACAGUACCCGAGGAGGAAGCCACGGCUAACUACGUGCCAGCAGCCGCGGUAAAACGUAGGUGGCAAGCGUUGUCCGGAAUUACUGGGUGUAAAGGGAGCGCAGGUGGAUUGACAAGUCGAAUGUGAAAUGCAGAGGCUCAACCUCUGAACUGCGUUCGAUACUGUUGAUCUUGAGUGGAGUAGGGGCAGGCGGAAUUCCCGGUGUAGCGGUGGAAUGCGUAGAUAUCGGGAGGAAUACCGGUAGCGAAGGCGGCCUGCUGGGCUCUAACUGACACUGAGGCUCGAAAGCGUGGGGAGCAAACA